rnacentral:rRNA from 1 species
CGAAAGCCUGACGGAGCAACGCCGCGUGCGGGAAGAAAGCCUUUGGAUUGUAAACCCCUUUUCUCAGGGAAGAAGUUCUGACGGUACCUGAGGAAUCAGCCUCGGCUAACUCCGUGCCAGCAGCCGCGGUAAUACGGAGGAGGCAAGCGUUAUUCGGAAUUAUUGGGCGUAAAGCGUCCGCAGGGGGCGCAUCAAGUCUGCUGUUAAAGGCUGGAGCUCAACUCCGGUUCGGCAGUGGAAACUGGUGGGCUAGAGGGCGACAGGGGUAGAGGGAAUUCCCAGUGUAGCGGUGAAAUGCGUAGAGAUUGGGAAGAACACCGGUGGCGAAAGCGCUCUACUGGGUCGCACCUGACCCUCAGGGACGAAAGCUAAGGUAGCG